rnacentral:lncRNA from 1 species
AAGCAACAAAAGGGAAAAGCUAAGGUUACCUUGGAACCUUUGUAAAGAAGAUCGAACGUGAAAGUCCUCCAAAAAAUCACGCCAAUCCUGAAACGAAGUUGAAGAGGGUUGCUGCAGAAAAUUUCAGUGCUGAUGAGAGCAGCACUUUGGGUCACGAUCUGGCCAGCUUAGAGCUGUUUUCUCUCAGAAAUUUGUGAAGGAGCAGAAACCAUAAGAUCCC